rnacentral:lncRNA from 10 species
AAUCACGGAGAGCGGGUUCCGUCCCCUCCUCGCCCCGGCCUGUAACUGCUGCGGGGGCCGCUUUCUGGGCCCGCCCCUCCAGGCCAGGAGCCUUUUUCAAAAUGUGGCGGUGGCAGGGAAGGUUGUCUGCUCCAGAGGCUUCCCUAGAGUGAAGAGCUCUACUAUGUAUGCUUUAUGCGGCAGAAGGAGUGCUUUGGAGGAGUUUUUAAAUUUGUUUUUUUUUUAAAUCUUAUCGGUUUUAAUUGUAGCAAUGAUUCAAGAAACGUUAGUAGGUGCCCAUAACUUCGGUGGUGGAGAUCCAAAAGUGAACAAGACAGUGUUCUGGCUGCUAAAUUCUUCUUAACUGGUUAUGCCUGGAGACCUUCACUUGGUUCUGUGCCAGCACUGCCCAUGAACUUCAUAGACUGUGAUCUUUGCUAAGGCCUAAAUGAAUGAAGGUGCAGGACCGGAAGCAGAAGACAGAAAGUGGAGACCAGAUGUUUGAAGCUGGGUAAAGGCAGGGAUGGAGCAGGAACCGAGGAACAAACCUUGGAACUAGGUAAGUUUCCUGAGGCCUUCCCAGAAGUAGAAGCCUGCACAGUCCACAGAACUGAAAGAAGAAGUCUAGAUAUGGGUAAACAGGAGUAGCCCCUACCACCAGAAUGAAAGCAAAGGCAGUGAAGAAGAAUGGUGAGCUGGAAUGCUAUGGCAUGGCAGCCCAUCUGAUCUCUUCACCUGGAGUCAUCUCUACGAUCUCCUAAAG